rnacentral:miRNA from 1 species
UUCCAGUCAAAGAGGUUACAAAACCUCUUUGACCGGAGGGAUUCCUUCUGGUCAAAGGCGUUCUGUAGCCUCUUUGACUGGAAGGAAUCCUUCCGGUUGAAGAGGUUUUGUAACCUCUUUUGACUGGAA